rnacentral:tRNA from 1 species
GCCUCAUUAGCUCAGUGGUUAGAGCACUGGUCUUGUAAACCAGGGGUCCGCAGUUCAGUUCUCUGAUGGGGCU